AGAGAGCAGCAGAUCGGGCUGGGGAAGGGGAUCGGAGUGGUGCUCGGUGGGGUCUGGGACUUAAUUUGCAGCAUGUUUGCCAAAAAGGCGAUCAGCAGGAGUUUGUCUAAGACAAUCGCUAAGCACCUCCUGGAUCAAAGGCCCCUGUCUCUCCAGAAUGCCAAAGGAUUUGCUGUUGAAAGUGCCUGUUCUUCCUUCCCUCUCCCCCUGCUCUGAGUGACUGGUUGACAAAAUAAAUCUGUGAAAGAAGGAGGCAGUUCUGAUCUGCUGUCAUCUUCCCAAAAUGCUCCUGA